rnacentral:rRNA from 1 species
UACGGGAGGCAGCAGUGGGGAAUAUUGCACAAUGGAGGAAACUCUGAUGCAGCGACGCCGCGUGAGUGACGAAGUGUUUCGGCAUGUAAAGCUCUAUCAGCAGGGAAGAAAAUAACGGUACCUGACUAAGAAGCCCCGGCUAACUACGUGCCAGCAGCCGCGGUAAU